AUAUUCACCCUUUCCCGUAGGAUCUGGCCAGUGACUUAGGAGAUCGUGAGUUGAGUUAACUGAGGGCUCGGCGUGCUACAGAGAGAGUAUGCCCAGAAUUAAUGCUCCCGGUUGCACGUGGUUCCCAAGGGGAAGUCCAAGGGGGCUAAAGCUAGGCUUAGGAAGUUGAAGAUCAGGAUAUAUGCUGCAACACCAAGUAAGUUAGUCCUUUAUACGUGCAUGCAGGCGAGGUUUCUUGCAAUACCAAUCAUUUGUGAAAAAAAUCUGUCCUAUAAGCCACUUGUGAGGCUGAGGUACCCAUCUCAGAGCUCGGUGUCAACAGAGUUUGCCAGGGUAGGCGACUCACUUGGAGGCAGCCCAGACAAAUUUUCACAGAACACAAGAGUUAGUAGAUUUGAGGUAAUAUGCAACAAAUGAUGGUAAUUUAGGGGGUUGGGAUUUUUCAGGGACUCUGCACUCUUGUAGACACACAUCAAUGGGUUCGGUGGUUACUUUAUGAUGAAGGUCAGGAAGUCUUUUUCUAAGUGAUGCAAUAUUCCAGCUUAAUAUAGAAAGUUUAUACAAGUUUUGAUCCAUUAUAGUAGUCCUGGGAUCAUCUCGAGUUUCUCAGCAUAAUGAAAAAAUUGUUCAUAUAAAUAGCAGACCUUAUCAAUGUCAACAGUGCUACCCUUGUCCAUGAGUUUUGUAAGUGCACUUCCAGUUGUAAGGCCUCGUGGGAGUCUUCGUAAACCCAGAGCACGACGCUGUUUAUGUAUGAUAGGUGACACCACCACUCACAUUCCCUCCUCCACUAACAUUACACGUGACACUACAACUGUCAUCACCAGCGGUGUAAUAAGAGUGGCGGUGAGAGUGAGUGAACGCGGCCAGUGAGCGCCAAAACUUCCCGCGUUUAUUAAGUUUGUUGCCACAACAUCACUGACACCUGCAGCACUCGCACCUGUAGCACACACCUGCUAUUGUAUAUACCUUCUGCUACUGAAGA